CCUACGGGAGGCAGCAGUGAGGAAUAUUGGUCAAUGGCCGAGAGCCUGAACCAGCCAAGUCGCGUGAGGGAAGACGGCCCUACGGGUUGUAAACCUCUUUUGUCGGGGAGCAAAGCGAGGCACGUGUGACUCAUUGAGAGUACCCGAAGAAAAAGCAUCGGCUAACUCCGUGCCAGCAGCCGCGGUCAUACGGAGGAUGCCAGCGUUAUCCGGAUUUAUUGGGUUUAAAGGGUGCGCAGGCGGAGGUGCAAGUCAGCGGUAAAAUUUCGGGGCUCAACCCCGUACUGCCGUUGAAACUGGAUGCCUUGAGUGCGCGAGAAGUAUGCGGAAUGCGUGGUGUAGCGGUGAAAUGCAUAGAUAUCACGCAGAACUCCGAUUGCGAAGGCAGCAUACCGGCGCGCAACUGACGCUGAUGCACGAAAGCGUGGGUAUCGAACAGGAUUAGAUACCCUUGUAGUC
rnacentral:rRNA from 1 species